CGCCUGUUUAACAAAAACAUGGCUCCUUGGUUGUCUGAGUGGAUGAGGAGUCGGACCUGCCCGGUGACUUACGGGUUAAACGGCCGCGGUACACUGACCGUGCAAAGGUAGCACAAUCACUUGCCUCUUAAUUGGAGGCUGGUAUGAAUGGUUUGACGAGGGCUGAGCUGUCUCUUCUGAAAUAUUUAAAAAUUAACUUCUAGGUGAAAAGGCCUAGAUUAGGCUGAGGGACGAGAAGACCCUGUUGAGCUUUAGUGUGGAGUGAAGGUUCUAAUUUCUAGUUGUACUAGAGAAUUUAAAUUCAUUUUUACAUCUUUAGUUGGGGUGACUGGGGAACAUAGGUAGCUUCUCUGUUUUUAGUAAAUUAAAUUUGGUCUGCUGACUGAUGAUCCGGCAUUGUCGAUUAUCGGAAAAAGUUACCACAGGGAUAACAGCGUAAUCUUUCUGGAGAGUUCACAUUGAAAGAAGGGUUUGCGACCUCGAUGUUGGAUUAAGGUGUCCUGAGGGUGUAGCAGCUUUCGUUGGUUGGUCUGUUCGACCAUUAAAACCUUACAUGAUCUGAGUUCAGACCGG
rnacentral:rRNA from 1 species